AUGGCAUGGGUGGUUCAGUGGUAGAAU
rnacentral:piRNA from 1 species